CAGCCGGCGGCCGUCAGGUUCAUCCGCUCCGAGUGGCUCGUGCUCGCCGGGCCCGACUUCCGCCCAAGCCGGGCUCGGCCAUCCGCAUCUCCGGCGGGCAGCAGCAAGAUGCCGCGGCGCUCGACCGACGCGACGUCCCCGGUGCGGACACCACACUCCACCUCGCGGUCCGGCUCCGGCUCCCCUCCAUGGCCUCCACGCUCGCCGCCGUUGGGGCGGACCCACCCAACCCUUUCCUCCGGCGGCGGCUGCGUGGCUUCUUCAUCAAUACCCCAUCCUCCGCCACCACAGCCUCGUCCUCCGGCGACUCCAUCCGCCUCUACGACCUGGCCACGCGGCCGACUUCGGCCCUCUCCCUGAUCCCUUGGCCGCCGUCUACGCUCCUGUGCCGCGGGACUCCCUCGCCGUUUACCAUGAGCCGACGACGGCGCGCUCGUCCUUUACGACGCCAAUGACUUCGCGUUCCUCGCCAUGGUCCGUGCCUUCCCGCACCACCAGGCCACCGAGGGGCUCGUCGUGCAGGAUGGUAGCGCUCGCCAUGGUUGACCCCCUCCGCGGCCGCCACAAGAGGGGAUUGUUCAUGAGAUGGAGUGCGGCAAAUUGGUGCUCGUCGUCAUGGCUGCAAAGGUGAUAAUUUCAGAGCAGCAGCUCGUGACCAGCUAGAAGUUUGGGCUGAGAGAACUGGUUCAGAGAUUGUCAUUGACAAUGAUAAGAAGGCACAGCCCCCAGCAGUAAGUCGACCAAGGGUGGGCACAAGGUGAUCGCACGGUGGAUCGACAAAGGCAGGCACAAGAUUUCUGUGUAGCGAGAUCCCGUGGCAGCUCUGGACGUUUUUUCUUCACAACAGAUUUGUACUGUUCUUUGUAUGAAAACCUUAGUGUUUCAAAGUCUAUGUAUGCUUAACGAGUACCAACCCUAUGUUAUUAGAAUCAUGUAAUGGGAGCUGUGUCGGAACUUUUUUUUGAAUGAAGUAUGUCUGUGCUCUCAAGGGAGGUUUUUCUGUUCA